rnacentral:rRNA from 1 species
CACCAGCGCCACAAGUGGGGGCCGCUAUUAUUGGGCCUAAAGCGUUCGUAGCCGGUCUGGUAAGUCUUUUGUGAAAUUGUCAGUCUAAACCUGACAACGUGCAGAAGGUACUGCCAGACUAGGAACCGGGAGGAGUUAGAAGUAUUCUCAAGGGAGCGGUAAAAUGCUAUAAUCUUGAGAGGACUACCUGUGGCGAAGGCGUCUAACCAGAACGGUUUCGACGGUGAGGAACGAAAGCUGGGGGAGCGAUCCG